rnacentral:lncRNA from 1 species
UUCUCUAUUCAUGUCCCAAACUUCCUUUUUUCUCUCUUCUUUCACAAGUCAAGAGACAAUGGUGAUGGAGAUACACAACCACUCCCAACGACGGUAAAUGAUGGAUUUCGUGCCCAAUAACAAUGAAGACCAGUUUUAAAGGUAAGAUGGUGGUAUUGAUGAUACUCAACAUCCCUAGCCCAACCUCCGGCGAUGGCGGCUAGGGUUCCGAUGAAGAUUCCAGUAAAACAUUUUCACUUGCAUGUUCUCUCUUUGUGUAAAUCGGUAGUGUUAAGAUAGUUCUGGAGCGCCGAUGGUGAUUGUUGCCGGUGGUACAAAUUUAUGAUUGUGCUUUUAAAAAUUUUAACUUAGACAAAAAAAAGACGAUAUUUAGCCUAUUUUUCUUUAUCUUAUGGUUUUGAAUUUGCAGCUUGCUAUUGUAGUAAUUUGUAAACACUAACGUGCAAAAUGCUUUUGUGUUUUUCAAUUU